GAGUACGUGCAUAAUCAGGGUUGAUCCAUAAUAGCGACCCCUAAUUUUCUCUACCAUUUAUAAAAAGGCACUACCGAACAUCUCAGAUUACGAACCUGAAGAGUGGGGGUUCAAGUCCCUCCGUCCUCGCCA
rnacentral:tRNA from 1 species